rnacentral:rRNA from 1 species
AGUGAACGCUGGCGGUAGGCCUAACACAUGCAAGUCGAACGGCAGCACAGUAAGAGCUUGCUCUUACGGGUGGCGAGUGGCGGACGGGUGAGGAAUACAUCGGAAUCUACUUUUUCGUGGGGGAUAACGUACGGAAACUUACGCUAAUACCGCAUACGACCUACGGGUGAAAGCAGGGGAUCUUCGGACCUUGCGCGAUUGAAUGAGCCGAUGUCGGAUUAGCUAGUUGGCGGGGUAAAGGCCCACCGAGGCGACGAUCCGUAGCUGGUCUGAGAGGAUGAUCAGCCACACUGGAACUGAGACACGGUCCAGACUCCUACGGGAGGCAGCAGUGGGGAAUAUUGGACAAAGGGCGCAAGCCUGAUCCAGCCAUACCGCGUGGGUGAAGAAGGCCUUCGGGUUGUAAAGCCCUUUUGUUGGGAAAGAAAAGCAGCAGGUUAAUACCCCGCUGUUCUGACGGUACCCAAAGAAUAAGCACCGGCUAACUUCGUG